GACGAACGCUGGCGGCGUGCCUAAUACAUGCAAGUAGAACGCUGAAGGAGGAGCUUGCUUCUCUGGAUGAGUUGCGAACGGGUGAGUAACGCGUAGGUAACCUGCCUGGUAGCGGGGGAUAACUAUUGGAAACGAUAGCUAAUACCGCAUAAUAGCAGUUGUUGCAUGACAACUGUUUGAAAGGUGCAAUUGCACCACUACCAGAUGGACCUGCGUUGUAUUAGCUAGUUGGUGGGGUAACGGCUCACCAAGGCGACGAUACAUAGCCGACCUGAGAGGGUGAUCGGCCACACUGGGACGGAGACACGGCCCAGACUCCUACGGGAGGCAGCAGUAGGGAAUCGUCGGCAAUGGACGGAAGUCUGACCGAGCAACGCCGCGUGAGUGAAGAAGGUUUUCGGAUCGUAAAGAUCGGUUGUAAGAGAAGAACGAGUGUGAGAGUGGAAAGUUCACACUGUGACGGUAUCUUACCAGAAAGGGACGGCUAACUACGUG
rnacentral:rRNA from 1 species